rnacentral:rRNA from 1 species
AGUAACCCGUUCGAAAGAACGGACUAAUAACCCAAACUGAUAUUCAUUGAUGACAUCUGAUUUGAAUUAAAGAUUUAUCGGUAUAGGAUGGGGAUGCGUCUGAUUAGCUUGUUGGUGAGGUAACGGCUCACCAAGGCCACGAUCAGUAGGGGUUCUGAGAGGAAGGUCCCCCACAUUGGAACUGAGACACGGUCCAAACUCCUACGGGAGGCAGCAGCC